AUUUAAAUAAUUUAAUAAAAAUAUUGAUUUGUGGUAUCAAAAAUAUGAAUAUAAAUUCAUUUUAAAUU
rnacentral:tRNA from 1 species